rnacentral:rRNA from 1 species
CCUACGGGCGGCUGCAGUGGGGAAUAUUGGACAAUGGGGGCAACCCUGAUCCAGCCAUGCCGCGUGUGUGAAGAAGGCCCUCGGGUUGUAAAGCACUUUCAGUGAGGAAGAACGCCUGGUGGUUAAUACCCAUCAGGAAAGACAUCACUCACAGAAGAAGCACCGGCUAACUCCGUGCCAGCAGCCGCGGUAAUACGGAGGGUGCGAGCGUUAAUCGGAAUUACUGGGCGUAAAGCGCGCGUAGGUGGCUUGAUAAGCCGGUUGUGAAAGCCCCGGGCUCAACCUGGGAACGGCAUCCGGAACUGGCAAGCUAGAGUGUAGGAGAGGAAGGUAGAAUUCCCGGUGUAGCGGUGAAAUGCGUAGAGAUCGGGAGGAAUACCAGUGGCGAAGGCGGCCUUCUGGACGGACACUGACACUGAGGUGCGAAAGCGUGGGUAGCAAACAGGAUUAGAUACCCCUGUAGUC